GACGAACGCUGGCGGCGUGCUUAACACAUGCAAGUCGAACGGAAAGGCCCUGCUUUUGUGGGGUGCUCGAGUGGCGCACGGGUGAGUAAUACGUGAUUAACCUGCCCUUGACUUUGGUAUAACUUCAGGAAACUGGGGCUAAUACCGGAUAGGAUCUCCUGCUGCAUGGUGGGGGUUGGAAAUUUUCGGCGGUUGGGGAUGGACUCGCGGCUUCUCAGCUUGUUGGUGGGGUAGUGGCUUACCAAGGCUUUGACGGGUAGCCGGCCUGAGAGGGUGACCGGCAACAUGGGGACGGAGAUAGGGCCAAGACUCCUACGGGAGGAAGCAGUGGGGAAUAUUGAAAAAUGGGCGGAAGCCGGAGGCAGCAACGCGGGGUGCGGGAUGACGGCCUUCGGGUGGUAAACCGCUUUCGCCAGGGACGAAGCGUGAGUGACGGUAAUGGGUAAAGAAGCACCGGCUAACUACGUG
rnacentral:rRNA from 1 species